rnacentral:rRNA from 1 species
UGAGUAACCUGCCCUUAACUCUGGGAUAAGCCUGGGAAACUGGGUCUAAUACCGGAUAUGACUCCUCAUCGCAUGGUGGGGGUGGAAAGCUUUAUUGUGGUUUUGGAUGGACUCGCGGCCUAUCAGCUUGUUGGUGAGGUAAUGGCUCACCAAGGCGACGACGGGUAGCUGGUCUGAGAGGAUGGCCAGCCACAGUUGGGACUGAGACACGGCCCAGACCUCCGUACGGGAGCAG